AUUGAACGCUGGCGGCAGGCCUAACACAUGCAAGUCGAACGGUAACAGGAAGAAGCUUGCUUCUUUGCUGACGAGUGGCGGACGGGUGAGGAAUGUCUGGGAAACUGCCUGAUGGAGGGGGAUAACUACUGGAAACGGUAGCUAAUACCGCAUAACGUCGCAAGACCAAAGAGGGGGACCUUCGGGCCUCUUGCCAUCGGAUGUGCCCAGAUGGGAUUAGCUAGUAGGUGGGGUAACGGCUCACCUAGGCGACGAUCCCUAGCUGGUCUGAGAGGAUGACCAGCCACUCUGGAACUGAGACACGGUCCAGACUCCUACGGGAGGCAGCAGUGGGGAAUAUUGCACAAUGGGCGCAAGCCUGAUGCAGCCAUGCCGCGUGGAUGAAGAAGGCCUUCGGGUUGUAAAGUACUUUCAGCGUGGAGGAAGGGAGUAAAGUGAAUACCUGCGCUCAUUGACGUUACCCGCAGAAGAAGCACCGGCUAACUCCGUG
rnacentral:rRNA from 1 species